GUGAGGAGGGGUGAGGUAGGAGGGACAGAGGGUGAGGAGGGGGUGAGGUAGGAGGGACAGAGAUGGGGGAAAGGGGUGAGGAGUGAUGAGGUAGGAGGGACAGAGGGUGAGGAGGGGUGAGGGAUGGGGGUGAGGGCAGGUAGAUGUACAGACAACAUACUUUUUUUUUAAAGAGUUUCAGGUGAGAAAGAUGAGAAGAACAGGAAGUGACAGACUGGUAGGGAGUGGGAAAGAGAAGAAGGACAGGAAGUGACAGACUGGUAUGAAGAAGUAAAAGAUGAGAAGAACAGGAAGUGACAGACUGGUAUUAAGGAGUAAAAGAUGAGAAGGACAGGAAGUGACAGACUGGUAUGAAGAAGUAAAAGAGAAGAAGGAAGCACCAAUUAUAUAACAUAUACCAUCUAAGAGUUAAAUAUUACUCCAGGUUAAAGUUAACCUCCUAACCACAAAAUCUAAGAUCAGCUGUCCUCGGGUUUGAAAUAUUCCUCCUGUAAACUUUCCCAUGAAAUCUCCACUUUCACAGAAAUCCUAGAAAAUCCCCAAAAUUCUGGGAAUUUUGGGGGGAAAGUUUCCAGAUUUGUUCAACCCCUAAGGUCUUGUGACUGCCCUCCCUUACCUUCACCAAUAGAGGGCUGAAGGCAAAACUGAUCCCAGACUAGGAGUUAAGGCAGGGUUGGGUCUACCUGUUCAGUUAAAUAUAACAGGUAAGGGUUGUAAAAUUCUGGUUAACUUCCCCCCACACGCACAUUCUCACGGUUUCCAGAAAUCCUAGUUGGAAGAUUCCUGGAAUCAAGAGGAAAUCCGGAAGCCCAACCCAACCAAGAUUUCUGGGGAAACUUGGGAAUUUUACAACCCUAAGAACUGGUAUAGAAAAUAAAACCCAGAGGAAAGAGUGGAAGCUCCUCAGAGCUUCCUGGUACUGCCGAAACCACACAAACCCUCCCCCUGAGUGGCCUUAACGGGGGACAGAGAGGAGGGGGGGCGGGGUUAAAGUUCACAGUUCAAGAGUUCAAGAGCUCAAACGGGUCCCCUCCUCUUGUCGACCUUCCCCUCACCUGGAGUAGAUAAUAGCUGGUCCUCUAUUACAGGGGUGGGCGGCAACUCACAGUCCUCUAUUACAGGG
rnacentral:lncRNA from 1 species